AGAGUUGUGAGAUGUGACAUGGAAAAGUGCUAAGAAGAAUUGAGCUGUAUAGUGUGAGCCCUGACAGAAAACAUGAAGCAUAUGAAGCUGAAAAAGAAAAGGCCAAGUACCCAAGUGUUAUUGUGGUACAGACUGCAUGGCAUGGCAGGUCCCGGUUAGAUGGGGGAACAUGUUAGAAAGCAGCAAGUGAAAAAAAGCGUGGACUCAACUGCUGGUGAAAAGAAUUAUUACAAAAAACAAGUUUGCAAGUCAAGAUCUCCAUUGUUUCCAAGUAACAAAACUGUUUUCAUAUUAAGAAAAAUUGUGAAGCAUCUGUUAUUAUGGUACAUACCGGUAAAUUCUUUUGAGAAAUGCAUUUAAUUUGCUAGCAUCAAAUAUCUUUCCAUUCUACUCCAUAUUUUAACAAUGGCUGUUUGUAAAAGAUUAUACAUGUGUAGACACAUGCACAUAUUUAAUCCUUCUAAAACACCCUCCUUUUCAGAAAACACUGUAUAAACAAUAAAAAUUGUAACCUCAUGACACUUUUGUGAUGUGGAUAUUAUCCCAAUAUUACAGAUUGGUAAACUGAAGCACAAAGAGGUGAAAUGACUAGACCAAUUUUCUUCCCCAUGUUAUAUGUUAGUAUUCUAUUAACUUUCUUACACCACGCCCAUCACCUGAUAUGAGGGCAGCACAGUAUCUCAGAUCUGAACUACAAGGCACCAGAAACAUGAAAGAAAAAGUCAAAUGAACAUUUCAUACCCUUAAAAGAACAACCCUGUCUUUUGCUCUCAGAUAUUCAAAUGGACAAAAUUACAUGAGUGAAGGCUUUAUUUUUUACCAACCCAGUACACCCAUUGCCUAGUAUACAUGUGACAGUUAGGGUCCAGACACCCCAGUGGGAGAACAGGGGAUCUGAACCCAAAAGAGUAUGCAAUUGAAUUAACUGUUUAUAUAAAAGGUAAUUGUGUAUAAAAAUAUGUUGAGUAAGGUCUUUUAUGAAAGCCUGCAAUGUUCUGAAUUUGAUGGUCAUUAUGAUACAUAGACUGUGGUUAUAAAUCUGUGCAUAUAAGUAUACAGAAUACUAUGCUCAUGACUAUACAUCUCACAGCAGGGAGGCACUUCUCCAAAGCCAAAUGCUUACACAAAACCAGAUGCAAGUAACAAUCCAUGGUACAACCCCCCCGAAGAGAAAAAUGAUGGACCAUUACUGUUGGUGGGAAGACAUUGGGACAUCCCAACUGCCAAGUUGAGAGGCAAUUUUCCCUAGCAUGAAUCACCAUAGCCUGUGAGAAAGAAAUAUACAAAACAAACAAACCUGCAAACCUUUAAGAGAGUCAUGGUUUGAAGUGAAGGUGAUCCAGAAACUGAGGGGGAACCUUUAAGUAGGAAGAUGCCCAUGAAAUGCUGGAUCCCCUCUAUGACAGUGGGCAUGCUAGGAAACUGUUCAAAGAUAGUAGAUACUUGCAUUAGAAAAAAUAAUUUAUUCAAUAGAGAAGUGUAAAAUCUUGAAGUUGCCUCUUUGUUUGU